ACAAGGUAUUUUCUCACUGAACAGUUUAUUGGGUUGUGCUAUUUUAUUCAUGCAGGUGGCACAAAAACAACAACUGUAUCAACAACAACAACUGGAAACAGCUCAACAUCAGGUACAACAGCAGUCAGUGAUACUUCAACCAAACAAGUUUGGUGGCAAUGGUUCAUCAUUGUGUUUGUGAGUCUUGCAGCACUCUUAAUAAUCAUUGUUGCUGUCAUCAGAUGGAAGAGAACUAAAGGAAAAAAAUCACAGACGGAUAAAAACAAUGUACAGAGCUUAAACCCUGCAGUGAAUCCAGAAACCUGUCAGGACACGGCUGAUCCUGAAGAUGGUGUUUCCUACGCCUCCAUCAGCUUCACCAAGAAGACCAACAGUAAAGGCUGGCCCAGGUCUACAUGGAAGGAUUGUGAAGUCAGUGUCCAACACUUUGGUCCAGAACUAAAUAUCUCAACAACUACGGACCAGAGGUUCGGAGUAAAGGUGAUGAUGAUGAUGAUGAAACAGUGACCUACGUCACUGUGAAAGCUCCCUCUUCUUCUGCUGGAGCCUCUGCUGAUCCCAGCAACCUCUACGCCACUGUAAACAAACCAAACAAAUAAGAGACCACAGUAUAGUUACAGCUCAUAUCAUCACACUUAUUUUACAUUGAUAACUGAUACUGAUAAAUGUUUGACUGUGUUUCUGUAUUAGAUGAUCAUUUUCAGGAUUUAUUGCUGUAAUAAGCCUUUUUGUCCAGAAGGGGGAGUAGUAGGUUAACUAGUAGCACAAUGUGAAAAGCAGAAGUAAUAAACAGUGGAGAAAGAAGUAUUUAUCAGAAUCAGAUCAGAAUCAGAACUUUAUUGAUCCUCUGGGGGGGAAAUUAGUUUUGUUACAGUUAUUCAAGGUGCUCAGACAUUAAAGAAAUAAUAAAAAGAAGAAGAAUGUUAAAAUGGGUAUUAUAUUACAAUAUCUAACAACAAUGUAUAUAGAGAAAAGAAAAAUAGAUACAAUCGGAGUCUGAACUGUACAUUAUAAUACAAUAUAUAAAAUAUACAAAUAUAUGUUUGCUAAUAGAAAUAUAUGUCAGAUCCUUUACUACAGUACUUAAGUAAAGUAAGUAUUAUCAGUCAAAUCUACUUUAAAUACCAAAAGUAAAAGUACUCAUUAUGCAGUAAAAUGGUCUCUGUCAGUGUUUUACUAUUAUAUAAGAUGUGUUUGGAUUAAUAUUACUGCUGCAUUAAUGUGUAUGUUGCAUUUUACUGCUGUACAUGUUUAAGGUUGAGCUCAUUGUAACUACUUUAUCUACUGUAGUGUAGUUUAAUCUAAAGCAAUACAUCAUAUUCUGUGAAAUCAUCAUAUGUCUGUAGUGUUAUUGUCCUUUAGGGACCAACUAUCCACAUUUUGGCUUUGUGACAAUGUAUUUUCCAGCUGAUCCAAGAAGGUUUUUAAAUAGUUUGUUCAGGUUAAGACACAUAAAGACACUUCAUCCUUCAGUUUAUCAGAAACAUUCAACAUCACCAAAUCUGGAGAUACAUGGUAUUCACUGGACAGGAAGGGUAUGAGAAAAUGUAAUCUGAAAGGUAACUAGUAACUAAAGCUGUCAGACAAAUUUAAUGGAGUAAAAGUAUAAAGUGUCAUAAAUGGAAUUUGUACUUAAGUACAGAACUUGAGCAAAUACACUUGGUAACAUUUCACCGCUGGUAAUAACACAUUAUAUGACUGCUUGAAAUGUAAAUAAACAUUAUUCUGCUACAUUUUGCUUCAUGAAUUUGAUGUCAGGGAAUAAGUGUUGUGUAAGAUGUAUUUAUGUAAUAGUCACUUGUCAUUGUUUAAUUGCAAUAAUUUAAACAUCCAUGUUAUUGUCUAACUUCCUUUAAUUGGCUUUUAACAAAAUAAUUUAAUCUCUACUUUAAGAUUAACAGAUCAGUUUCAAAGCAGCAGCUUGAUCUUAGUUGUAUGUCUCUGUUUAAGAAGAACUCAUUUAAAUGAACACACAUUUAUCAUUUUUGUUAACAUGUUUGUUACGAGUCCAAUGUGUGUUUUAUUUGCUUUGAGUCUUAAAGCUAUAAUAUGUAAC
rnacentral:lncRNA from 1 species